GAUGAACGCUGGCGGCGUGCUUAACACAUGCAAGUCGAACGGGAAACCUUUUAUUGAAGCUUCGGCAGAUUUAGCUGGUUUCUAGUGGCGGACGGGUGAGUAACGCGUGGGUAACCUGCCUUAUACAGGGGGAUAACAGUCAGAAAUGGCUGCUAAUACCGCAUAAGCGCACAGAGCUGCAUGGCCCAGUGUGAAAAACUCCGGUGGUAUAAGAUGGACCCGCGUUGGAUUAGCUGGUUGGUGGGGUAACGGCCCACCAAGGCGACGAUCCAUAGCCGGCCUGAGAGGGUGAACGGCCACAUUGGGACUGAGACACGGCCCAGACUCCUACGGGAGGCAGCAGUGGGGAAUAUUGCACAAUGGGGGAAACCCUGAUGCAGCGACGCCGCGUGAAGGAAGAAGUAUCUCGGUAUGUAAACUUCUAUCAGCAGGGAAGAUAAUGACGGUACCUGACUAAGAAGCCCCGGCUAACUACGU
rnacentral:rRNA from 1 species